rnacentral:rRNA from 1 species
UAGUCCACGCUGUAAACGAUGGAUACUAGGUUUUGGGGGUCUCAACCCCUUCAGAGCCGUAGCUAACGCGUUAAGUAUCCCGCCUGGGGAGUACGAUCGCAAGGUUGAAACUCAAAGGAAUUGACGGGUUCCCGCACAAGCGGUGGAGCAUGUGCUUUAAUUCGAGGCAACGCGAAGAACCUUACCUGGGCUUGACAUGGGAGCUCUCUCUUCGGAGGGGGUUAGCUAUGUGAAAGCAUGGUUAGUCCACACAGGUGUUGCAUGGCUGUCGUCAGCUCGUGUCGUGAGAUGUUCGGUUAAGUCCGGCAACGAGCGCAACCCUCGCUGUCAGUUACCAACGGGUAAUGCCGGGGACUCUGACAGGACUGCCGGUAAUAAACCGGAGGAAGGCGGGGAUGACGUCAAGUCAUUAUGACCCUUACGCCCAGGGCUAGACACGUGCUACAAUGGUCGGUACAAUGAGCAGCGAGACCGCGAGGUGGAGCAAAUCUCAAAAAGCCGGCCCUAGUACGG